rnacentral:rRNA from 1 species
AUUGAACGCUGGCGGCAUGCCUAACACAUGCAAGUCGAACGCGAAAGGGCUUCGGCCUGAGUAGAGUGGCGGACGGGUGAGUAAUGCGUGGGGAUCUGCCCUGCAGUGGGGGACAACCCGGGGAAACUCGGGCUAAUACCGCAUACGUCCUAAGGGAGAAAGGGGGCCUUCGGGCUCUCGCUGCAGGAUGAGCCCACGUCCGAUUAGCUAGUUGGUAGGGUAAAGGCCUACCAAGGCGACGAUCGGUAGCUGGUCUGAGAGGAUGACCAGCCACACUGGGACUGAGACACGGCCCAGACUCCUACGGGUGGCAG